CAUCAGGUUCUAUCCUGACUCUAUCCAAACCCCUCUGUUAGUCCUACCCUGGCUCUAUCCAAACCCCUCUGUUAGUCCUACCCUGGCUCUAUCCAAACCCCUCUGUUAGUCCUACCCUGGCUCUAUCCAAACCCCUCUGUUAGUCCUACCCUGGCUCUAUCCAAACCCCUCUGUUAGUCCUACCCUGGCUCUAUCCAAACCCCUCUGUUAGUCCUACCCUGGCUCUAUCCAAACCCCUCUGUUAGUCCUACCCUGGCUCUAUCAAACCCCUCUGUUAGUCCUACCCUGGCUCUAUCUAAACCAAUCUGUUAGUCCUACCCUGGCUCUAUCCAAACCCCUCUGUUAGUCCAACCCUGGCUCUAUCCAAACCCCUAUGUAAGUCCUACCCUGACUCUAUCCAAACCCCUCUGUUAGUCCUACCCUAGCUCUAUCCAAACCUCUCUGUUAGUCCUACCCUGGCUCUAUCCAAACCCCUCUGUUAGUCCUACCCUGGCUCUAUCCAAACACCUCUGGUAGUCCUACCCUGGUUCUAUCCAAACCCCUCUGUUAGUCCUACCCUGGCUCUAUCCAAACCCCUCUGUUAGUCCUACCCUGGCUCUAUCCAAACCCCUCUGUUAGUCCUACCCUGACUCUAUCCAAACCCCUCUGUUAGUCCUACCCUGGCUCUAUCCAUAUCCUCAAUCACAGAAUCCUACUGCUGGUCAGAAAAACAGAUCGAUACAGCCCACUGUGGACUUUGCAAAAGAGAGGAGUGUCUGUGUGUGUGUGUGUGCGUGCGUGCGCGCGCUUGACGGAUCAACCUCUUCUCUAGGCACUUUUUGUCGUCUGUCGUUGUAUUUCUCAUGCCUGUUCGCUAUAUAAAUGUGGUUAUUGUUCAGGAUAAAAAUGGAGCUGAAAAAUAGUAUCUUUCCUACAGCUUUAGAUUUUCAGACUGCCUCACGGAAUCAUCAUUGGAACAUGUGUCAGGUGAAUUAGUGACGUUUAUAUCAUGUAAACUGGAAGAAGAAACCUGGUUGGCAUGGUAAUUCAUGCUUUAUUAAAAGGCUAUACGUCUUGCUUGUAAUGGUCAAUUAGCCUGUCAACGGCUAUAGCCAUUUCCUGUAUACUUUUUUAUUUAACCAGGCAAGCCAGUUAAGAACAAAUAAUUAUUUACAAUGACGGCCUAUCGGGGAACAGUGGGUUAACUGUCUUGUUCAGUGGCAGUACGACAGAUUUGUACCUUGUCAGCUCAGGGAUUCGCUCCAGCAACCUUUCGGUUACUAGUCCAACGCUCUAACCACUAGGCUACCUGCCUGUUAGCCUAUGGGUGCUCAUUUUGUGUCCGUCAGAAGCCUGAUUACUCUGGUUGACACCUAACUCCAAGUCUUCCUGACUUCAGUCUGGUAAGACUCCUUUAUGU
rnacentral:lncRNA from 1 species